rnacentral:rRNA from 1 species
UGGGGAAUUUUCCGCAAUGGGCGAAAGCCUGACGGAGCAACGCCGCGUGAGGGACGAAGGCCUCUGGGCUGUAAACCUCUUUUCUCAAGGAAGAAGAUAUGACGGUACUUGAGGAAUAAGCCACGGCUAAUUCCGUGCCAGCAGCCGCGGUAAUACGUAGGGGGCGAGCGUUGUCCGGAAUUAUUGGGCGUAAAGCGUCCGCAGGCGGCCCUUCAAGUCUGCUGUUAAAAAGUGGAGCUUAACUCCAUCAUGGCAGUGGAAACUGUUGGGCUUGAGUGUGGUAGGGGCAGAGGGAAUUCCCGGUGUAGCGGUGAAAUGCGUAGAUAUCGGGAAGAACACCAGUGGCGAAGGCGCUCUGCUGGGCCAUCACUGACGCUCAUGGACGAAAGCCAGGGGAGCGAAAGGG